rnacentral:rRNA from 1 species
UUCUGGCAUAUCAAUAAGUGGAGGAAAAGAAACUAACAAGGAUUCCCCUAGUAACGGCGAGUGAAGCGGGAAGAGCUCAAAUUUAAAAUCUGGCAGUCUACGAUUGUCCGAAUUGUAAUCUCGAGAAGUGUUUUCCGCGUUGGCCUGUGCACAAGUCCCUUGGAACAGGGCGUCAUAGAGGGUGAGAAUCCCGUCCUUGGCACAGAUACCCAAUGCUUUGUGAUACACUCUCAAUGAGUCGAGUUGUUUGGGAAUGCAGCUCAAAAUGGGAGGUAAAUUCCUUCUAAAGCUAAAUACUGGCGAGAGACCGAUAGCGAACAAGUACCGUGAGGGAAAGAUGAAAAGCACUUUGGAAAGAGAGUCAAACAGUACGUGAAAUUGUUGAAAGGGAAACGAUUGAAGUCAGUCGUGCCUGCCUAGAUUCAGCCUUCUGGUGUAUUUCUAGGUCGGCAGGUCAGCAUCAGUUUGGGAGGGUUAACAAGGGGAUUAGGAAUGUGGCAACCUCGGUUGUGUUAUAGCCUAGUUUCGUAUUGAUCUUGCUGGACUGAGGAACGCAGUGCGCCCGCAAGGGUAGGUCUUCGGACACUUUCGCACUUAGGAUGCUGCUAGCAUUAGUG